rnacentral:lncRNA from 1 species
AUAAUUUGACAUAAAUAUUACUUUUAGAUAUAUUUAAGUAUUUAUUGGUAACAUUUCAUAUAUAUUUAUUAUAAUAUUUAUAUUACAUGGUCUCGAGUUUUACGUUUCGCCCCGAGCAAUUUGGACCGGCCCUGGAUUAGUCACACUGAUUCACUGAAGAAAUAGAAGGAAAAUUAACACGAACACGGACCAUGAAUCCGGAUCGAAUGCAGGAUCUCUAAUUCAUCGGAUAUUGAAUUUAAUCGGAGGCAGUUUAGGCGAGUACCUGCAAGGUGUACUCGAACGCUCGAGAUCCCGUCGACUCCUUUGGCGCCGGCGUCUGGCGCCCGCCGGCGAGGGCACAUCGAACGUGAAGCAUGGAGGUCCAGCUAACAACUAAAACCUAUUGGGGAAUAUAGAUCUGAAAAAAAAAACUGAACUCUUUGUUUUAGAUUUCCCACCAAAUUAACCCAAGGAAGUUAGGGGCUUAGGGCUCCACACAAAUGAUUAAAAAGAAAUCAAUCCAAGUCUGAGAGGUGGAUCUCUACUACCCUAAGCCAUAUGGCAUAGACGAAGGAGGACAGAAGAGUACCUUUGUGGCGCUUCUUCGGCGGGAAAGAGGUCUGGGGUUCUUCUUCGUUCGGAGUUUGUCUUUGUCGUCGCGAGGUCUGAUUAGGGAUGGCAACGGGGACUAAUCCCCGCGGGGUCCCCAUCCCCGCGAACAGAAGCAGUUGACUCCGGAAGAGCUCGCACAUUGAGGCCGAAGGCAUCACCAUCAGAGCGAAACUCAAUCUUCCCUACCACUGCUUCCCCAAUCCCCGAAACAACCUCUUACUUCAUUGCCGUCGGAGCUCAAGACGCAACGAUGGAGAAGCGUAGGCAGGAGAUGAGGGCCCUGCCGCGCAGUUGCCUGGCAUUAGAGUUGGAGGAGGCUUCGCUAUGGGAGAGGAGGCGG